AGGAUUCUCCUAGUAACGGCGAGUGAACGGAGAUUAGCCCAUCACCGAAGUCCGGUGCUUUUGCAUGCAGGACAAUGUGGUGUUAAAGCGUAUGCCUGGGAUCUGUGUACCUACUUGAAGUCCAACUCCGAUUGUGGCGAUUGGAUAUGUCCCCAGAGAGGGUGAAAGGCCCCUCCGAGUAGGCUGGUUGCAUAUAUAAACACAGUCCUCAGAUGCGUAUAUGCUAUCGAGUCGGAUUGCUUGAGAAUGCAGUCCAAAGUAGGGUGGUAAACUCCAUCCAAGGCUAAAUACUGGCGCGAGUCCGAUAGUAGACAAGUACCGUGAGGGAAAGUUGAAAAGUACCUCUGCUAAGAGAGAGUAUGAAUAGAUACGUGAAGCCAUUUGCAGGAGAA
rnacentral:rRNA from 1 species